rnacentral:rRNA from 1 species
UGGGGAAUCUUGCACAAUGGGCGAAAGCCUGAUGCAGCGACGCCGCGUGGGGGAUGAAGCUUUUCGGAGUGUAAACCCCUUUCGACUGGGACGAAACCCCGCAAGGGAUUGACGGUACGGGUAUAAGAAGCCCCGGCUAACUACGUGCCAGCAGCCGCGGUAAUACGUAGGGGGCCAGCGUUGCUCGGAAUUACUGGGCGUAAAGGGUCCGUAGGCGGUGCGGCAAGUCGGAAGUGAAAUCUCGAGGCUUAACUUCGAGGCUGCUCCCGAAACUGCCGUGCUCGAGUGCGAGAGAGGCGAGUGGAAUUGCAGGUGUAGCGGUGAAAUGCGUAGAGAUCUGCAGGAACACCCGAAGCGAAAGCGGCUCGCUGGAUCGCAACUGACGCUGAGGGACGAAAGCUAGGGGAGCAAACAGGAUUAGAUACCCUGGUAGUCCUAGCCCUAAACCAUCAGAACUGGGCGUGAGCCCUGUACGGGGCUCGUGCCGUAGCUAACGCGAUAAGUUCUGCGCCUGGGGAGUACGGUCGCAAGGCUG